rnacentral:rRNA from 1 species
GAUGAACGCUGGCGGCGUGCCUAAUACAUGCAAGUCGAGCGAACGGACGAGAAGCUUGCUUCUCUGAUGUUAGCGGCGGACGGGUGAGUAACACGUGGAUAACCUACCUAUAAGACUGGGAUAACUUCGGGAAACCGGAGCUAAUACCGGAUAAUAUUUUGAACCGCAUGGUUCAAAAGUGAAAGACGGUCUUGCUGUCACUUAUAGAUGGAUCCGCGCUGCAUUAGCUAGUUGGUAAGGUAACGGCUUACCAAGGCAACGAUGCAUAGCCGACCUGAGAGGGUGAUCGGCCACACUGGAACUGAGACGCGGUCCAGACUCCUACGGGAGGCAGCAGUAGGGAAUCUUCCGCAAUGGGCGAGAGCCUGACGGAGCAACGCCGCGUGAGUGAUGGAGGUCUUCUGAUCGUAAAACUCUGUUAUUAGGGAAGAACAUAUGUGUAAGUAACUGUGCACAUCUUGACGGUACCUAGUCAGAAAGCCACGGCUAACUACGUG